CUUUUAGUAAAAAAAAAAAUUAGAACCUCUAUCAUACCCUCAAGAAAUGUCUUAUUAUCAUCCUCCACUAUUAUAUUCCUUUUCUUGUUUUUCUGUUUUUCAUUAACAUUAGGAGAGGACUUUUUGCAUACUCAUCAUGUUUAUGAGUCUAUGGGAUCCAACAUUUAUAUUUUCAGAUAUUCCAGCACAAGAUUUAGUGCCAUUCCCUCCUCCAAUAAACACACUAGGUCCAA
rnacentral:lncRNA from 1 species